rnacentral:rRNA from 1 species
AUGAGGCGAACCGGGGGAACUGAAACAUCUAAGUACCCCGAGGAAAAGAAAUCAACCGAGAUUCCCCCAGUAGCGGCGAGCGAACGGGGAGGAGCCCAGAGCCUGAAUCAGCAUGUGUGUUAGUGGAAGCGUCUGGAAAGGCGCGCGAUACAGGGUGACAGCCCCGUACACAAAAGCGCAUGUGCUGUGAGCUCGAUGAGUAGGGCGGGACACGUGGUAUCCUGUCUGAAUAUGGGGGGACCAUCCUCCAAGGCUAAAUACUCCUGACUGACCGAUAGUGAACCAGUACCGUGAGGGAAAGGCGAAAAGAACCCCGGCGAGGGGAGUGAAAAAGAACCUGAAACCGUGUACGUACAAGCAGUGGGAGCCCCACCACUAAGCCAGUGGUGAACUCCACAUACGCAUCCUUUGCUGAAGGCAAUGGUUAACGGAGCGAAAGCGACGUUCAACCGCAAAACAAGCAGAGGGGGCUUAGUGGUGGGGUGACUGCGUACCUUUUGUAUAAUGGGUCAGCGACUUAUAUUCUGUAGCAAGGUUAACCG